ACACAUCUGCCCAAGAGUAGUUCAUCUUCAGUUUUCAGAAAGCGAGGAAGAGAAGGUAUUUUUGCAUCAUUUCUCAUCUGAGCAGGAUACAAUCCGCAGGUCCUAGCUGACAACGUCUCGGAUAAAGGACAAUUUAUUCUCAGGGACAUGGCAGAUAUGGAGCCUCUGAUCAUUCUCCUUCUGCUAGCAGGACUAGCAGGGAAGACAUCACUGACAUACACAACAGCAAUGGGUAAUGU